rnacentral:lncRNA from 12 species
UUCAUCUUUCUGAUUGCUAAAGUUCCAACACACUCUUGUUGGUCUUUGUAGAAUAGCACUCAUCAUAUACAAUAAAUCUCAUCACUCUCUGAGUAUACUCAUACUAAUUAGUACAUUUUUUCAGGACACAGUUUUUGGUACUAUAACCAGUUUAAAUUAUAGAAAUGUAUUUUGCUUUAACGGAUGCUGAGGUUAAGUUAGAAAUCUAUGAACCUCCUUGUUGGAUGAAUCGAGUUUAGGAAGUUUAUGUGAGUAAUGAGAUACAGAAAUACAAUAAAAAAUCCUGAGAGGAUAUGAAAUGCAGUGAGGGCAGCAGGUUAGACUUUACACUUUUACUUCCUUCAGCCUUAAUUUUUUCAUCUGUGAGAGUAUGUUUUUGGUAACUAAUAACUACCAUGGAGCACCUGCAAAGAAAUCCGUCUCUUUCCGGGGCCUGCGAGCGCCGCGCCGGCGCUGGCCCCCGCCCGGGACCGGGCAUUCCCGUGGCGGCGUCGGCCUCGUUGUUGUGACCCGGUCCUUCCUGGGACCCGGCACCGAGCGCUCCCCGUGCACCGGGCGGGAGCGAGGGCGCCGCACGCAGAGGACAGCGCGCAGCAGGGCUGACCCCGCAACCCUGGGUGUCCGCGCUUGCACGAGCUCGGCUCUGCAGCUUGAAAUGGCAGCUAAGGAGUGGAGGCCUGGCUGUCAGAGGUGAGGACAACAGGCCAGGAACAGCCCUGGACAGAGGGCAGCAACCCCACUAAGUCAUGUGAUGGCUCUCUGACACCAUAGCCGUCCGUCUGCAGAUGGAGGAGAGCCAGGAGCAUGCAUGAGGCAGGGCCGAGGGUCUCUGGCCAAGGGGGCAGACAGGACAAUUGACCUGCCUGCUCUCUCCGGGACCUCGUCAGCAACAACACCCCGACCUUGACCUUGAACCCUGGGCUCCCGAAUGCAACUCUGGCCAUGUCUCUGCUGGGAUAUCUUUAGGGAGCGCAGGCUCUGAUACCGAUACCUCAACUCCUGGUCUUCCUGGAAGCUGACUACUCAUCCUCGCCCGCGCCACAGAAGGAGGGCUCCAUCCUGCCUGCUCAGCCAGGACGCUGGGGUCCUUUCUUCCAAGCCGCCUGCCGUCAGCACACCCCUCCGAAUCUGGCUGUAGCAUGCCACCCCCACUCUGGACCGAGCGCCAUUGACUGCCCCAGAAUUCGUGCAAGGCCUCCGGACUGGUCUCCGCGUCUUCCCUUGACACUUCCUCCCCUAACGUCUGUCCUCAGCACAGAGUGGUAACUUGUACAACACACUAGUCGAGCCAUGUCUCUCCUCUGCUCAAAAGCCUCCAGGAGCUUCACUCAGAGCAAAAGCCCAAGGGCAGGGUGAUUCCAGGGCGUCAGAGAAAGCUGGGACGAUGGAACUGUGUGGGUGGCAGUGGUAGUUCUUGGGUGUAUACGUGGGGCAAAACUCA